AGAGUUUGAUCCUGGCUCAGGAUGAACGCUAGCGGCAGGCCUAACACAUGCAAGUCGAACGGCAGCACGAAUAAGCUUGCUUAUUUGGUGGCGAGUGGCGCACGGGUGCGUAACGCGUAUGCAAUCUACCCCUAACAAGAGGAUACCCCGGAGAAAUUCGGAAUAAUAUUCUAUAAUACAUUUGAUUCGCAUGUUUUGAAUGUUAAAGCCACGGCGGUUAGGGAUGAGCAUGCGUGACAUUAGCUAGUUGGUGAGGUAACGGCUCACCAAGGCAACGAUGUCUAGGGGUUCUGAGAGGAUGAUCCCCCACACUGGUACUGAGACACGGACCAGACUCCUACGGGAGGCAGCAGUGAGGAAUAUUGGUCAAUGGACGCAAGUCUGAACCAGCCAUGUCGCGUGAAGGAAGAAGGCCCUAUGGGUUGUAAACUUCUUUUAUAAGGGAAGAAACCCCCUCUCGUGAGAGGGGCUGACGGUACCUUACGAAUAAGCACCGGCUAACUCCGUGCCAGCAGCCGCGGUAAUACGGAGGGUGCAAGCGUUAU
rnacentral:rRNA from 1 species